rnacentral:rRNA from 1 species
ACAUGCAAGUCGAACGCGAAAGUCCCCUUCGGGGGACGAGUAGAGUGGCGUCCGGGUGAGUAACACGUAGGUAAUCUACCUUCGGGUGGGGAAUAACGCAUGGAAACUUGCGCUAAUACCGCAUAAUGCAGCGGCACCACAUGGUGACAGUUGUUAAUGCGGGGGAUUUUCGAACCUCGCGCCUGAAGAUGAGCCUGCGGCAGAUUAGCUAGUUGGUAAGGUAAUGGCUUACCAAGGCGACGAUCUGUAACCGGCCUGAGAGGGCGGUCGGUCACACUGACACUGACAUACGGGUCAUACUCCUACGGGAGGCAGCAGUCGGGAAUUUUGGGCAAUGGGCGAAAGCCUGACCCAGCAACGCCGCGUGAAGGAUGAAAUCCCUCGGGAUGUAAACUUCGCAAGAAUGGGAAGAAUGAGUAGGGGCUAAUACUCCCUAUGAUGACGGUACCAUUUGUAAGCUCCGGCUAACUCCGUGCCAGCAGCCGCGGUAAUACGGGGGGAGCAAGCGUUGUUCGGAUUUACUGGGCGUAAAGGGCGCGUAGGCGGUCAGCGCAAGUCAGUUGUGAAAUCUCCGGGCUUAACUCGGAAGGUCACUGAUACU